rnacentral:hammerhead_ribozyme from 1 species
AUCCAGCCAACGAGUCUCAAAUAAGACUAAACGCGUGUCCUGGAU